rnacentral:rRNA from 1 species
GACGAACGCUGGCGGCGUGCCUAAUACAUGCAAGUCGAGCGCAGGAAACUGACGGAACUCUUCGGAGGGAAGGCAGUGGAAUGAGCGGCGGACGGGUGAGUAACACGUAAGGAACCUGCCUCAAGGAUUGGGAUAACUCCGAGAAAUCGGAGCUAAUACCGGAUAGUUCAACGGACCGCAUGGUCCGCUGCUGAAAGGCGCUUAGGCGUCACCUUGAGAUGGCCUUGCGGUGCAUUAGCUAGUUGGUGGGGUAACGGCUCACCAAGGCGACGCUGCAUAGCGGACCUGGGAGGGUGAUCGGCCACACUGGGAAUGAGACACGGCCCAGACUCCUACGGGAGGCAGCAGGAGGGAAUCUUCCACAAUGGACGAAAGUCUGAUGGAGCAACGCGGCGUGAGUGAUGAAGGUUUUCGGAUCGUAAAACUCUGUUGUAAGGGAAGAACACGUACGAGAGGAAAUGCUCGUACCUUGACGGUACCUUACGAGAAAGCCACGGCUAACUACGUGCCAGCCGCCGCCGUAACAC